rnacentral:rRNA from 1 species
UAGUCGAUGGGAAACAGGUUAAUAUUCCUGUACUUGGUGUUACUGCGAAGGGGGGACGGAGAAGGCUAUGUUAGCCGGGCGACGGUUGUCCCGGUUUAAGCAUGUAGGCUGAUUGUCCAGGCAAAUCCGGAUAAUCAAGGCUGAGGUGUGAUGACGAGGCACUACGGUGCUGAAGUAACAAAUGCCCUGCUUCCAGGAAAAGCCUCUAAGCAUCAGGUAACAU